UACAGAGGGAGCAAGCGUUGUUCGGAAUUACUGGGCGUAAAGGGCGCGUAGGCGGUUCGAUAAGUCCCGUGUGAAAUCCCUCGGCUCAACUGAGGAAUGGCACGGGAAACUGACGGGCUUGAGUUCGGGAGAGGGAAGCGGAAUUCCGGGUGUAGCGGUGAAAUGCGUAGAUAUCCGGAGGAACACCGGUGGCGAAGGCGGCUUCCUGGACCGACACUGACGCUGAGGCGCGAAAGCUAGGGGAGCAAACAGG
rnacentral:rRNA from 1 species